GACGAACGCUGGCGGCGUGCUUAACACAUGCAAGUCGAACGGAAAGGCCCUGCUUUUGUGGGGUGCUCGAGUGGCGAACGGGUGAGUAACACGUGAGUAACCUGCCCUUGACUUUGGGAUAACUUCAGGAAACUGGGGCUAAUACCGGAUAGGAGCUCCUGCUGCAUGGUGGGGGUUGGAAAGUUUCGGCGGUUGGGGAUGGACUCGCGGCUUAUCAGCUUGUUGGUGGGGUAGUGGCUUACCAAGGCUUUGACGGGUAGCCGGCCUGAGAGGGUGACCGGGCACAUUGGGACUGAGAUACGGACCAGACUCCUACGGGAGGCAGCAGUGGGGAAUAUUGCACAAUGGGCGGAAGCCUGAUGCAGCAACGCCGCGUGCGGAAUGACGGCCUUCGGGUUGUAAACCGCUUUCGCCUGUGACGAAGCGUGAGUGACGGUAAUGGGUAAAGAAGCACCGGCUAACUACGUG
rnacentral:rRNA from 1 species